AUUGAACGCUGGCGGCAGGCCUAACACAUGCAAGUCGAGCGGAUGAAGGGAGCUUGCUCCUGGAUUCAGCGGCGGACGGGUGAGUAAUGCCUAGGAAUCUGCCUGGUAGUGGGGGAUAACGUCCGGAAACGGGCGCUAAUACCGCAUACGUCCUGAGGGAGAAAGUGGGGGAUCUUCGGACCUCACGCUAUCAGAUGAACCUAGGUCGGAUUAGCUAGUUGGUGGGGUAAAGGCCUACCAAGGCGACGAUCCGUAACUGGUCUGAGAGGAUGAUCAGUCACACUGGAACUGAGACACGGUCCAGACUACUACGGGAGGCAGCAGUGGGGAAUAUUGGACAAUGGGCGAAAGCCUGAUCCAGCCAUGCCGCGUGUGUGAAGAAGGUCUUCGGAUUGUAAAGCACUUUAAGUUGGGAGGAAGGGCAGUAAGUUAAUACCUUGCUGUUUUGACGUUACCAACAGAAUAAGCACCGGCUAACUUCGUG
rnacentral:rRNA from 1 species